UACAGAGGUGGCGAGUGUUGUUCGGAUUUACUGGGCGUAAAGGGUCCGCAGGCGGCUUUGUGUGUCAGAUGUGAAAGCCCACGGCUUAACCGUGGAAUGGCAUUUGAAACUACAGAGCUAGAGUACAGGAGAGGAUAGGGGAAUUCAUGGUGUAGCGGUGAAAUGCGUAGAUAUCAUGAAGAACACCGGUGGCGAAAGCGCCUAUCUGGACUGAUACUGACGCUCAGGGACGAAAGCCAGGGGAGCAAAGAGGAUUAGAUACCCUCGUAGUCCUGGCCAUAAACGGUGCGCACUUGAUGUGGGAGGUUUACCCCCUUCCGUGUCGAAGCUAACGCGAUAAGUGCGCCGCCUGGGAAGUACGGCCGCAAGGUUAAA
rnacentral:rRNA from 1 species